CGCCUCGCGCCGGCGUUGCCCGGGCACAGCGUUUCCACGCACUGCGUUCCAGACUCGGGCGGAGCCGCCGCAACAGGAAGCGGCAAUCGGAGAGUCCCGGCGCGCGGGCGCGCGGGGCGGGCGGGGCCGCGUUCUUCUAACCGGACUCUAACCGCCGAGCGGCCCGGAGAGGUGCGAGGGUUUUAAUGUCUUUAUUUUAUGGAAAAGAGGAAACUUUGAAGCUUCUCAACUUAAAACUUAGAAAAAAAAAAUAUUGUUGUUGAAGAUGAUCUUAAUUCCAAGGACCUCACAGACUUAAAAAGCUACUGACAUAAUGACUGACAUAAUGAAUUUGUCUUCUCCAGUCAGCCAUGUUGAUCAUGAAGCUAAACGCUUAUGUAGUGCCAAGAGUGGGUCACAGUCACUACAAAAUAGCAGUGCAUCAGAGUUGGACAUUGCUGAAGAUCUGAAAAGGAAACUCUGUCAAGCCAAAGAAGAAAAAGUAGACAUAAUCAUUAAACACAAUCAAGAACUGCGUGACUAUGAAAUCCAGAUUGUCAAAUUACGAUCUGAAUUUGAGAAAGGAGAGGCAAUUCGACAAAGGCUGGAAUAUGAAUUGGCAAUUGCCAAAAAAGAUGCUCGUUUGAGAAUACAUACCGUAGAAGAAGAGUUAAGUGAUGCAAGAAACAAGCUUGCAGAGCUGCAAGUGUUCAACGAAAAGCUUCAGCAGAGACUGGUAGAAACUGAGAAAACAUUUCAUAUUGCUCAACAGAAGUGGAAAGAACAACAACAAAGACUUGCAAGUGAAAAGGAUGAUAUUCUCAGAACACACAAGGAUGAAUAUGAAUUGCUUCUUAAGGAAAGAAGUGAGCUAGAAAGCGUUUUGCAGAAGCAGAAUAGUGCUCUGCAAAACUUAAGAAAGAAGGUGAAAGAUAUGGAGCUGGAACAUCGUGACUGUUCAGAAAUGCUCACUCGUCAUGUACACAAGCUUGAACACAGUGCUGAACAAGAGGAGCAGCUUAAAAAAGAACUCGAAGCAGCAACAGACAGAAUAAAGCAAUUGGAAGAAAGCAUUGAAGAAGAAAGAGCAGCACAUUUGAAAUCUAAAUUCAGUUUGGAAAUCACCCAGAUGAGAAUUCGAGAACUUGAAGGAGCUUUACAAAUGGAAAAAGUCAGCCAGGCAGAAGCUCUUUCAGACUUAGAGAUGAUCAGGAAGGAAUUCAAAGAGGUAGAAAAUGCAUAUGAGAGAGAAAAACAGAAAGCCCAAGAGAACUUGGAAAAAGUCAAUAGAUUAGAAAGGGAGUAUAUCUCCACAAACAAGCAAAUGAAUGAGAAGAUUGAGGAAAAGAAGGAGGUAAUUAAAGAUCUGUUGGAGAGACUACGGGAGAAUGAAAAAACUCACAGAGAACUACAAGAUAAACUUGCAAUGGCCAAGAAACACCAGGUCUUUGUAACAGAGACAUACGAAAACAACAUGAUGGAGCUGAAGUUACUCUUGGACAGCUUUGCUAUGUCAGGCCAGCGGACAGCAGGCUCUCAUAAGGACAAAGAUAAACCUUCAAGCCUCUCUGUCCUUGAGACUUUGAGGUGUACCUUGACAGCUUACCAGAGCAAGCUGGAAGACACAUCUAAUGAGCUUAAGAAAAUGAACACUUUGUGUGAAAACACAGCAAAAGAGCUUGAGAUAUCCAAAGACAAGAUGUAUGUUUUAAGUCAAGACCUUAAGGAAGCACGGGAUAAGCUGGCCGAUGCCAAUAAAGAGUUAAAUCUUCUGCAUACUGAGUGUGCAGACAGAACAGCUUUAAUAGGAACUUUACAAAUGGAACUACAGAAUGUGCAGCAGCGCUGGGAGGAGGAGAAAGUACGUGCCGCAGAAUCUGAAAAUGAAAUCCAGAAGCUUACCAGGGCUUACCAGAAGGAUAUGGAGGAGAAGCUAACCUUCCUUCAUGGCUUAUACCAGCGUUUGGUAGCUGGCUGUGUGCUUAUAAAACAACCAGAAGGCAUCCUAGAUAGAUUCUCUUGGUCGGAGCUUUGUGCAGUCUUGCAGGAGAAUGUUGAUGCCCUGAUCUUAGACCUCAACAGGGCUAAUGAGAAGAUAUCUCACCUAGAAUAUAUUUGUAAGAACAAGUCUGAUACUAUGAAGGAGCUUCAGCGGAGCCAGGAAGAUGAUAUUAGCAAAAUGGCUGAGCACAUGAAAGCACAGGAAAGCUGUUGGCAGAAACAAAAAAAGUGCCUGGAACAGCAGUACUCAGAUCUCCUUGGGGAAGUUCAUGCAAGGGCACAGGAAUACCAAGAAACAGCAGAGAACAACAAAGAAAAAAUCUGUGUCCUUGAAAAAAGGCGGGAGCAAUUGGCCCUUGAAAAUCUCUAUGUGAAAAAUACAUUAACAGAGAUUCGGAAGGAGCAUUCAUCUCUCCUGGCAGCAUGUGCGCUAUUGGCAGGUGCCCUGUAUCCUCUCUAUGGCCGAUCAUGUGCUAUGGCUAUACAAAGAGACCUUCUUCAGGAGCAGGUCAACGUUUAUGAAUUAGUCAACCAGGAAAUUAGGACUCUUGUUCAUGUUCUCUCUGGUGUAGAUGGGGAGAAGGAAGAUGAUGCGAAAAUUAAGAAACAAAAAUUCAGAGGCCUGAUACGUGUGUUCCGAAGAGGUGUCAUUGCAGUUUUGGCAGCUAACAGACUUAAAGUUCUGUCCCAGUCUUCUAGUUGCCUCUUCUCAUUGAUAAAUGGCUUUAAAGAAGGCACUGGAAUUCUAGUGUGUGUAGGGGACUCCAAAGGCAAGCAUAAUAUGUCAAGACACAACAAGGAAGGAAUUCGUUGUGUUGAAGCACUCAACUGGUUUACUAGUUCUGAUCUCCUUACUGCAAUAAUCAGUUCUGUCACAGAAUUACAGGAUAUUAUUAGCAGAACAGAUCCAAAGUCUUGUCUUUCUGGACGCUUGCUUGUAAGUGCAGCCAGGAACUCCUUUUCAAAACUUAUGGACAAGCUUAAUACAAUAAUGGAGACUGUUCCAUUAGAUAGCAGCAGGAGUGUUACUUACGUGGAGAAAAACUCCUUGGUACGGAGGCUGGCUCAUGGACUUCAUAAAAUAAAUGCACAAGCUCUGGAAGCUGGAUCAUGUGACAGAUGGCCCAUUAUGAAGAGCAUAGCAUCCUUGCAGAAGCAAAUAUUUGAAUUGACACAAAGACUUCAUACAGUAGAGGUGGAGCGCCGCUCACUACGCCUGGAACUUGCAGAAUUCAAGUUGAAUUUCAGUAAGAUGAAACAGGAGGCUGACAAAACCCAGAGCCUGAAAGAGCAAUUAAGUUUGUUUAGGCAAUCUAAAUUGAUCGCUCACAAGAGGUUUGAAAGUGCAUGUGAAGAAUUAAAUAAUGCAUUACAUUGGGAGCAUCAAGCACAAGUGCUGUUGAAUGAACAGGCACAACAGCUACAGGAGUUAAAUAAUAAACUAGAAUUGCACUCCAGUGAAGAAGCAGAUAAAAACCAAGUCUUAAGUGAAACUAUAAAGAGACUCUCCGAGGCAAAGAUGGAGCUGAGAAGAAAAGAUCAAUCUCUGCGUCAGCUCAAUAGACUUCUUACGCAGCUGGAGCAGGACAAGCGUCGACUGAAAGAGAGCAUCCAUGAUGCAGAGAGUGCCCUCUGCAUGGCAGCAAAGGACAGAGAAUUGUUCAUUAAUCAAAUGAGAUCUGUGGAAACCACUCUUCUUACGGUCAGAGAUCAGACCUUGCUGUCAUGGACUGCGGCAACCAGGAAUGACUUCACCCUGCAGCUACCCAAACUGCACCUAGAGACCUUUGCAGUAGAAGGGCUGAAGGGCAGGCCAGAGGUUGUAGCAUUUCAGGCCAUGAUUAAAAGUUUUAUGGAUGUCUACCAACUUGCAAGUUACAGAAUUGACAUAUUAGUGAAAGAAACAGCACCUCAUCAGCUUCACACUGCAGCCCCAAUGUCCAAGCACCAAACAGCUUGCCUUCAUGAAAGUGGGACUUACAAUUGAAAUGUUCUGAUUUAGUAUCUGUUCUUACACAUGCAGAAGAAGGAGAACAACUGUGCUGUAAAAAAAGGACAAUAACCAGUUGAAAGGAGAGGGAGCUGCAGCUAGUAACACAGAGUAUUUCCAGACACAUCAAAUGCAUCAGUAAGUGGAAGCCAAGGCAUAAACCAAAAUUUUGAGCUUUCUCACAUGAAGGUGUCCAUUUCUCCAGAGGUGCUCAAGAAACAACCCUCUGCAAUAGAUACUCUUUCCCAUCCCAGGUGGAUGUGCAGCACGUUCAAGAUACAUACAUUUCAUAAUAGAAAUGCAGGCAUGGUGUGACAGCAGAGGCCGUGCAGAUGGGAACAGUAUGGAGCACAGAGGUGUACAGACCUGGGAUAAUAUGAUGAAGGAAGUAGAUUGGCAUUGGAGACCACAGGACUUUAAAUAACAUGCCACUGUCACCUAAAAGAACACUGACUGGAAACUUGAGCACAACCAGCUAUAGUAGUAAUAAGCAACUGGUAUCCAACAAGUGUAAAAUACACCGUAUAGAGCAAAUUACUCCAUAACUGUUUCACGCCAGUAAAGAAGCUGGGAGCAAACUGUAGCGGUGUGUUACACAGAUGGUGCUGUGGAAAGGGUAAUGUCUUUAUUUGUUCAGUGAAAUAUGUAUUCUCUUAUAAACAACCACAAUGAGAGGAAAUGCAUUUGGGAGGAGGACUAGCCUGAAGCCUAGAUUGGCAACAUUGCUAGCAAACCAGAACAUCAUCAUGCCUUAUGGUCAGGAAUUGAAGCAGAGGAAACGAAGUGCAUCAAAGUGCCUGGGCAUAUGUACAUAGAAGCAUUAUCUAGACCAUUAACCCCUCUCCAGAAAAGUUUGUGUUUGAGAUUCAAGAAAGACAAGGAACUUCUACAGAGUCCAGCUGAGAGCCACAAAGAUGAUUAGGGGCCUGGAGCUCCUCCCUUAUGAGGAAAGGUUGAGAGACCUGAGUUUCUUCAGUCUGAAGAAGACUUCAGCAGAAUCCCCCAAAGUUCUCAGCAGGUGGGUGCCUUGUUGGGACUUCAGGUUACACAAGUGUGCCAAUGUCCUGCUUUUGGAAUUUCUAAAAGUUGUUUUUCUAACUUGGUAUGUGCUAUAUCCAGCCUCUGUGAGCUUUGUGCUUCACCUCAGAGAAGGAAAAAUUGGUCGUAGACUUCAUAAAUAGUCAUUUUUUAAAGUGUGAAUUGUCUUAACAUAGUUAUACUUGUUAAAUGUAAAUAUGAUACAGUCAGAGCCAAUAAUACAUAAAGAAAAAUAUGUUAACGGGUUGUUUUCAUAAAGCUGAAAAUAAUUCCAAGAGAAAUCGUCUAGGAAAAGGAAAUUUAACAAAAAAAAAAUCAGUGAUAAUUGGAAUUUGUUAUAAAACAUUUGACUAGCUGACCAACAAACUUCCAGUUAAAGAGCCGUUUUGUUUUAGAUUUUUAAAAUUAUCACUUUAUUUCUUAAACAUUGGACAGAGAGGUGCAAACAAACAUUUUCUUUUCCAAAGACAUAGAAAUUAGAAGAAAUAUAGAAAACAACAGCAGUGAAUAGGAGUUAAAAUACAGGAAAAGCAGACGUAUGAUAAGAGAAGGAAAAAAAUUACAAAGGGAAUUUCAUAGAUAAAGCCAUUGGAGAAAGAAAAUGAGUCAACAAUGACCCAUCAGGAGUUAGUACUUGGUUAGGAUUUAUAGUGAAGAAGUCAUGACUGUUUAAUAGUUACUUUUGUUACAAAUCUGAUAGAAAUCCAAAAUUCUACCAUAUAUUGCUAAAUCCUUUUCAGUUCCAGUGGAAAUGAAAGAUGAUGUUCAGAAACGUUUUUGAAAAUCAGACAGUUUGAUCACCUACUUCAGAGAACUUUUACCAGAAAAUUUUGAACAAAGUGUAUGAGACAUUAUCUGAGGCACUCACAUUGACGUCCUUCCCUAACACAUCUCAUACCCAUGUCGAGAGACUGAAGUAAAACAAAUACUAGGCCAGAAUACAAAGGGGUUACUAAACCUGCUGUUUUGAAUAUCAGUGCCACAUGAAGUAAUGGAAAAUCAGCAUAGGCCCUAAAUAGAAGGGUGGUAGUUUUGUUAAUGGCAGUCACCAUCGGUUAGGUGCAUGUGGGGAAAUAACUGGCGUAUAUGUGACAUGUAAAAAUAUUGUUCGGUAUAAAGGACACAUUGAUGCUAUAAGCUUGGAAAUCUCUGGAAAUAAUACAAUUUCUUUUGUGUUAACAUACUAUUUGGUUGGAAGUCUGACAUUAAAUCAACAUUGCACUCAGAUAACAGAUAAGGGGCAGGUCUCAGAAAGGUAAUCUUAAUUGCACCUUUUUCUCAGGCCAAAGGUGUUUGACCUGGCUUCAUGCUGUUUAACAUUUCUCCAAGCAAUGAUCAUUACUGUUGCUGAAAAAUGGCUAGUCAUUCUGCAGGAAUGGAGGAACAAGUAGCAGAGUUGGUUAUUUGUUACAGUCAGGAUGCAUGAAAACAGUAUGCAUUUCUAUAAGUUUUUGAGUUAAAGUUGUUGUCGUGGUUAAGGGACUUUAUCUUGAAAAACAAAAAGAAUGGUGAAUUGCUGUUGUCAUGAGCGAAGAGAGGUGUGCUAUCUAUGCCCACCACUCACAGGCGUGACACUCAGCUUGUAGCACUGCCCAUCGCUGUGUUUUGGUCUAAGAGAAUGGAGAGGGGUCAGGGCAAGGUCUCAGGGUGAUGCCAGUCUCUGAAGGUGAGCUGCAAUCUGGAAUGGUGUGCAGGGUAUUCUGAAGGAUUCUCUAUUAGCCAAAUACCUAGCAGGAUUCACAGACAGGGAAUGGAAGUUAGACUCUGCCUGAGAUGAAAACAGUUCUUAAAGUGAUAGUCACUGAAGCAACAGGGUCCAUGAUUUCAACACAGUAAGAAUAACCACAGUCAGUAAUCAUAAUAAGUAUAUACAUUUUUUCUGUAAUUAUUAUUAGUUCUUCUGUAAUUAUAGAGAAUGCAUUCGUCAGAAGCACGUUUCUUAGGGGAAGUCAUUGUCUUCUGUUAUGGUAAGUCCAUUCUGACAUUAAACACUAAUGAUCUAUUUGCAGAGGCUGAAGUCAAUACUUAGACGUAUCAAUAAUAGGCCUGACUUCAAAAUUAUUCAUUUGGUUUUGUUAGCCUCAACUUAUGUUUGUUAUAUUAUUUCACAUUGGUUACUUGUAUUUAAAAAAGAGGAGGAAUCAGUUGUUUUUGUUUACUGAACAAAUAUUAUUCGUCAUCAUAAAGAUACAGAAUUCUUUAACAUAGGAUUGCAAAGUAUGUCUUUCUUAAAGCAUAUGUAUGCAAAAGGGAAACUUAAAAUCAUAUUUUGAAUGCAAUCCUAAUGUUCUCUCAGAUGAAAAUAGAAGUGUUACACUGGUUUCUGUCAACUGAAGAUUUGGCCUGCUAAGGCUGUGUCCCUUCCCAGUGACUUUUUAUUAACCAACUAUUUACUCAUUUUUCCUACAAAUCCUAUAUUUUCUAAGCAAAGAGAUUCACUCUGCUUUCAUUUCAGGCUUCUUUUCCUAUAGGAAAUUUUAUUCUAAACAAAACAAAACAAAACAAAAAAGGCAAAAUAUCUGAAAAAUAAACAAUUUCCUGGUAUAAAACCUAUCAAUGUAUUAUGGAGGUAUUUUUCUAUACAAUGUACAGUUAUUGCUUUUUAAUCUGUCAAUCUUUAAAUCAAGGUUCAUUUCUAAACAAUUUCUAUGUAAAUGACUGCUGAAGAAAACACAGAAGAAUAACAGCCAGAAUAAAAUCUGGAAUAUGAGUAUGUAGAAAUACAAAUAAACAAAUAUUAAAGCAAGGUAUGGGAGAAACUCUCUGCAAGUGAUACAAACUUUGAUGGUGGAUACAAUUACUCCUAGAGUCCAGCUUAUAACUUUUUGAAAAACAAGUUCAGAAACAUUGAUUCUUUCAGUCAUUUAGCCUAUUGUUAUGUACUGGAAGUCUCCAUGACAGACAACAUUCUUUCUGUUAGCUGAAAAAUAGGUAAAAAUUUAGCCAGGCUGAGAAAUGACUACAAUUUCAGUGGCACAGUACUUUAUUGCAUUAGAAGAGAUACAACAAAUCUAUUGCCAAAAAGCUGUGGAAAAGUCCUUUUCCAUAUAUGGAGUAUAUGCUCAGGCUUUAAGAAUAAAAGAUCAACAUACCCUGAUUCUUCCAUUUCAUUUGUACAACCUUUGAUGUGAUGGGUGAUGCUUCACAGACAGUGAUCUGGGACAUCUGCAGCUAAGAAAAAGCAGGACUUUCCUUUCUGGUGUGAAUUAUUUGCAUUGAAACUAACAUGAUUUAGAAAGAUUUUGAUGAUAUUUAUGGUCAGAUAAGAACAUGAGUAGCCAUGAUGUCAGUUUAGAGCAUUAAUGUUAAGGACCACAGCGUUUUUCUUUUAGCCAGUCAAGGCGGCCAUAUUGAUGUCAAUCUCAUAAGAUCUUUUGUUCUGCAAAAGAAUCCAAAUGAAAAUAAAAAUUCAGAAAGUCAGAUUUUAAAGGAGCUACAGCAAUUCUGUGGUUCAGAACAUCAAGAUUUGCCUUGAUGUUGAAACUUCUCAUGGUUGGCUUCAGGUCCUGGGGUAAUUCUGAAUCGUUUGAAUGCAGCUGUUGUCUGCCAGUGCUGGACUCAGAAAAAAAUUACGGAUUGUGUAACUGGGGGAACUUCUCAUCUGACACACAACAAUUUUUAACUGAACAAGGGUAGGAUCAGAUUAGAUAUCAGGAAGAAAUUCUUCCCUGUGAGGGCAAUGAUACACUGCAGUAUGUUGCCCAGAGAGGCUGUGGAUGCUGCAUCCCUGAAAGUGUUCAACUCCAGGCUGGAUGGGACCCUGAGCAUUCUGAUGGAUGUCUUCCCAGUGAAAAGUAUUGCUAUCCAUAGCAGGAGUUUGGAACUAGAUGAUCUUUAAGAUUUCUUCCAACUUGGACCAUUCUAUGACUAUUUUAUGAUUAACCAUCACAAACAUAAAACAGGAUAUAAAAUAUAUAUAAAAUAUAUAUUUAUAUACACAAACAAGCAAAGAAGCCUCCAUGAAAGAUAACUUCCUUGCUAGACUCUUACCAAGAAAACCAGUAAAAAUUGCUUCAUCACAUAACUGAGGACAAUGCUGAGGACAUAGAAUGUAAAACUGCAGAACAAAAUGACCUUAGUGGCAUUUGGAAGCUUAGAAACUAUGCUGAUUAAAGACUUCCCACAGUACUGAAGAUAGGAUGUCAUUUAGGGAAGAAAUAGUGAACCAGAGCUUCUUUGCCAUAGCCCUGUGUUGAACUGGAAAACAUGUUAACUGAGGUUUUUCAUAAAUAUUGCAAGUAGGCAAAGUAAAAGUAUUUUCAGCACCUUUGUUUGCUAGUGGUUGCAAAUAAGGUGUUUAAGACUGUGAGUGGGACGUGGAGCUUCUUGUGGUGGUAUGUUUCACAAGAAAAUUCCAGCAGAAUUGAAUUUCCUGCUUCAGAGAGAGUAUAGAAUAUUCUACGCAGAGAAGGAAUGGGCUCUACCUACAUGAGAUGCAUCUAUAAACAAAACCACACUCCUCAUUUUUAAUAAGAUUGCCUGAUGUUUUCUAGAGAAUUUAGGAAUGGUUGUAGCUAAAAACAAACAAGCAUACACAAAUGCAAAAUACAAUGCAAAACAAACAACAACACCUCCCCAUAAAAUGAAUCCAGAAAAGAAGAAAAUACAUAUAAACAAGAAAAAUCAGUAACAACAGAAAAAAAUACAGAGAAAAUUACAAAUUAAAAAAUGAGAAAUAAUGAGCCAAUGACUCUUUUCUAAGAACUUUGGUUUUCUACAUACAAGAUCUAACUAAUAUGUUGUUCCAAAAGCAUUUCAAACAAGGAAUAAAUAAAUAAAUACCAUAUGGAAAUUGCAUUGGCCAUCAUGCCAGAACUAACCUUUGAAUGAAGCUAUGGUUCUAAAUAUGGGAAAGAGAGGGAGAAGAAAAGACUUUUUGUUUUCUUCAUGAGAGGAGGAAAUUUCAUUGCUCCAGGCAGUCUUAGGAAGACUUCAGUGUUCCAGGUCACCUUGCCAGGUGAUGUUGCAGGGUUCCUGCUCUUUGUCAUACUCGAUUGUGAACUGGGACUCGACAGCAGGAAAAGAUUUCUCUGAAAUGGAUUCAGCUAGUUAACACUGCAGCCACCAACCCACCCACAUGGAAAAAGACCCAAAGUGUCAGCACUUAUUAAUAUUUUAUUGGAAACCACACAUUUCACAGGAACGGUGACAAAAAAUGUAUCUUUAGCAAUGGCCUCGUCAAUGAAAGUUGGUGUCUUUGUUUUUGUUUUUAUUUUCCCAUGGCUGUUUUAUUCAUUAAUUUUCUUCCCUGGUCUGAAAAGAGAAGAAUAUUCAAAUGUUUUCUUUUCCAAAAUAGAAGUGGAGAUAGCAUCUUUCUCAUAGUUUCAUGUACACAUGCCAUCUCCAUGUGACAAAAAAUAUCUUCACACUCACCUUGGGCAGAUUGUUUUGAAGUUGGGAUCUUGGGGGAAAAAGUCCCUCUGUCUGGAAGCAAAGAUUCCUCCAAAGCUUUGCAACCACCAGAGUAACCUGAACAUCCGUAAGUCUAUGCAUCCUGAUAAGAUGCCUCCCGCAGUCCUUAGGAAAUUGGCUGAUGUAGACACCAAUUCACUUUCAAUGAUAUUUUAAAAGUCAUGGCAAUCAGGUGAAGUUUCUGGUGCCUGGUAAAGAAGGCAGUAUAACACCUGUUUUUAAGAUGGAUUAGAAGGGAUAACCCAGAGAACUACUGACCUGUCAGCUUUAUCUCUGUGUCAGGGAAGAUCACGGAACUGAUCCUUCUGGAAACAGUGGUAAGGCACACAUGGGAGACAGAGAGGUGAAGAAAGACAGUCAGCAUGGCUUCAUCAAGAACAAAUCCUGCCUGACAAACUCAGUUGUUGCAUUGCCUACAACACUCAGUGGCUUUCUGUGAUGAUGUAACUGCAUCACUGUGCAAGGGAAGAGCCUCUGAUGUCAUCUGUCUGGACUUCACUAACGCCUUUGACAUGGCACCCCACAACAUCAUUCUCUUAAAAUUGGAAGAAUGUAGAUUUGAUGGAUGGUCUCUUUGAUGGACAAGGAAAUGGUUGCAAGGUCACACUCAGAGAGUACUGGUCAGUGUCUGAAUGGAGAUCAGUGACAAGCAGUAUCUCUCAGGGUUCUGUAUUAGGACCUGUGCUCUUCAACAUCUUCGUCAAUGAUAUAUCCAAUGGGAUUGAGUGCAUCCUCAGCAAGUUUGCAGACGACACCAAGAUGUGUAAUGUGGUUGACACACAUGAAUGAUGGGAUGCCAUACAGAGAGAUCUGGAAAGGCUCAAGCAGUGGCUUCAGAAGAAUCUCAUGAAGAUUAACAAAGCACAUCCAAGGUCCAGACUGGACCGUGGCAACUUCCAUCAUUAAUACAAGCUGAGAGAUGAAAGGAUUGAGCACAGCCCUGCUGAAAAAUACUUGAGGAUGACAAGCUGGACAUGAGCCAGCAAGGUACUCUCAGAGCCCAGAAAGUCAACCAUAUCCUGGGCUAUAUCAAAAGAAGUGUGGUCAGCAGGUCAAGGGGAAUGAUUCUUUAAUUUUCUUCCCUGGUCUGAAAAGAGGAGAAUAUUCUACUCUGUGCUGAUGAGACAGCACCUCGAGUACUGUUUCCAGAUGUGAACAGGACAGGAGAAACAAGGAUCUGUUGGAGUGCAUCCGAAGGAGGGCCACAAAAACAAUCUAAGGGAUGGAACACCUCCCCUGAGAGGGCAGAAUAAGAGAGCUGGGGCUCUUCAGAUUGAAGAAGAGGGGAUCUCUGGGUGAACCUGAUAGAAGCCUUUCAGUAUCUAAAGGGAAGAUAUAAAAGCAGGAGAGACUCCAUAGCAGAGCCUGUUGUGAUAGGACAAGAGGAAAUGGCUUCAAACUAAAAGAUGGGAGAUUUAGACUGGAUAUGAGAAAAAAAUUUUCUUGGAAAGGCACUGAGAUGGUUUACCUGGAGAGGUAGUAGGUACCUCAUCCCUGGAGAUACUCAAGGUCAGUCUGGACCAGGCUUUGAGCAACCUGAUCUAGCUGUACAUAGCCCUGUUCAUUUCAGAGGAGCUGGACUACAUGACCUUAAAGUGUCCUUUCCAAAUCAAAAGAUCACAUGAUUUUAUGACAAGAGAACUAGGUAAUUAAGUAUAAUCCACAGCUCCCGACUGGCAUAUGCUAUCAGAAACGUUGUGAUGGAAAGCUGAAUGAAUCUUUUCUCUUGCUGCAGUAGAAUUUUUGACAGACACGCUUACUGCCACAGCUGAACCCUCUGACACUGACCAUUGCAACCACAAGAAUUUUCAGUGACACAGAUAUUUAUAUUUUAAUAUUAGUUGGCUUUAUGAGACUAUAGCAGCACAUGUAAGUUUACCCAGUUGUUGAUCACAUUAUGGAUGUAAUGUGAAACCUAACUCCACACGUAAUGCAAUAAAUGUAACAUGAAACUCUUGCCCAAAUUUGUGAUCAGGGAUGGAAGAGAAGCUGUAGUUCCCUUUCUUGGUUGGAGUGAGCACUUGCAGCAAUAAUAAAAACAGCAAAUCUCACCUCCAAUUGUAAAUACUAUGGUAGGCAGAUACAGUCACUGAAGUGUAUAGGUUAAAUGUAUGGACAUAUAAGCACAUAUGCAGGAUAUUUAUUCUGUAUUCUCCUGCAGAGCAUGAAUUUGAGAGAGAAAACUCUCCUGUUGUGACUGAUAAUUUUCUGGGGGCUGAAACAGCUGAGUAAAAACUUCAGAGGGGAGUGGAGAAGAGCGAGUGGGACUGUAAGAGAGAACUGAGGAGUGAGUGUCUGGGGAUCUUCAGACAAGCUAAUGAUUUCAAGGGAUAUAACUUCACAGCAUGUAUUAGAAUUAAACCAAGAGAAGGGGUUGACUGAUGGAGAGGGAAGCUUUUAUGCUCAUAAAAUACAAUGAACUCAUUUAAAAUGUCAGGGGAUAUGUGAAAGGACUGAUUCCAAACCAAACAACGUUUUGUCUCCUUGUUUGGCAGUUAUUAACUUCAGUAUUACUGACUUUUGUUAACUCUUAGCAGGAGCAUCCUCUUCCUCAUUUGUGUUUAUUAUAAUUGGUCCUGGAGGAAAAAGUUGCUGGGACCUAUUCUCAUAUACUAAUGGCCCAUUGAAUACUUAAUAUAACAAUAAAAAAUGAGUUUAGUCAUAAAUUUCAGCAAUUCUAAUUUAAGUGAAUAUUUCAGAGGGUUUGAGAAGAAUGUUCUCGUUAGUUUUUCCUUGACUGAAUUGUGAACUUUCUGAAUUUGGUAGAUGCUUUAACAUAGUUAAUUUGAGUUAAUCUAAAGUGUGAUAUUGUAUAUAGCUUGGGUUGGAUGUUUGAUAAAUCUGUGUGUUGGUCAGCUUUACAGAAAAUGACCUGUAGGUCCUGACAGACAACAAACUGAACACAGGAUUCGUAUUCUGGAAAGAAGGUGAAUGGUACUUUGAGCUACGUUUUGUGUGUUUUCCCCUCUGCUCAGCACUGAUGAGGCCAUCCCUGGAGUGCACUGACCUUUUUCUGGGCUCUUAGUACAAGAGACAGACGCAGCUACUGGAGAGUGUCCAGUGAAAGGCCACAGAGACAGAGAACGGACUGGAAGAAGCAUCACUCAUAUGACGAAAUGCUGACAGAGCUGGGACUCUUCAGUCUGGAGGACUCAGGAUCUCAGGGGGAUCUCAUCAGUGUUUGUAACUAACUGAAAGGAGGGUGCAAAGAGGACAGACUCAGGCUCUUGUCAGUGCUGCUGAGAGCCAGGACAGGAGGAAUGGGCAUUAACUAGGGCACAGCAGGUUCCAUCUGAACAUCAGGAAACACUUCUACACUUUGCAGGUGACCAUGCACUGGCACAGGUUGCCCAGAGAUUGUGGAGACUUCCUUUCCAGAGAGCUCCAAAAGCUGUUUGGAUAUAGUUAUGGGCAACCUGUUCUGCUUGUCUCUGUUUGAGGAUUUGGACCAAAUGGAUUAAGAGAUUCCAGUCAACCUCAGCAGUUCUGUGAUUCUUCUACAUAUGUACACUCCAGAUUUUUAUCUCUUGUACCACUAGAGAAAUUAGUCCAACUGCCUCCAAACUUGAUCACAAGGUGUUCCUGUUGCAUUCUAUAUGGUUUCAUUUCUAGCUAGCUUAUGGAGUUAAGAAAUGUUUAUUAGAGGUAAACAAGUGGUGUAAGUUGUGUAAAAACAAGUGAUAGGAAGGUAGUGUCAGGAGGUGGUGUAAUGCAUGGUUUUUAAUAAUUGUUAGCAACCUAUUGACAAACUUGAUUUUAAAACACUUGAUUAUUUAUUGCAACACCUAUUAAUCAUUUAUUUUAUUUAUUAUUUAGUAACCUUCCAGUCACGGGAUUUAUUUGAGAUAAAGUGUGCCUCAAAUGAGAAUAAAGAAGCUGAAGUAAAGACAGAUCAUUGGAAUCUGACAUACAUAUGAAUACAUAAAGCAGAGAUGGACUGCGCUGUUAAGAAUUUCAGAAAAGAAGGGCUCACCAAGACAUCCUAGGAGCUCCUGCCAGCUGUGUCUCUUUAAACUCCAGGGAGCUGAAGUGGUGAGAAAGAGUUAUGAAAGAGUUACCAGGACUGGGUAAGGUGUUACAGCACAAUGGGGCCAGCUGGUGCAGCAGGUAACCCUUUGAGAUGCAAAGGUCAAUCCCACCACAGCAUCUGCAGAAUUUGCACUAUAAGCGAGGCCCCUUCCAGUGGAUUGAAUACUGUGGAAGAGUUGCUCUCCUGCUCUCACACAAUUUUUGGGACUUGGAAGGGAACAGCUUUUGAAAUACUUGCAAUACUCCAUUUUUUUUCUUUUUUUUCUUUUUUUUUCUUUUUUUUUUUUCUUUAAGGAGCUGAGGGGUGAAGGUUAUUUGCAGUGAGUUUUGGGAGAGGAGUCCUGCUGACAGGAUUUGUGCUACCCUUCACACAACAGAAGGGGAAGAGUAUGUGAGAGAUGGGAGUAAAUGUCUCUGCGUAUGGUGCUUUGAGAGAGAGAACUCCAGCUCAGCCAGGGAAAUAGUCUUUGGCUUACUAAUCCACUGAGAAAUGGAAAUACUCUUCUCUCUCCUUUCCUUUUCAUUAGUUUAUGUACAUCAGCUCUCAUCAUGUUUACCUGCGAAGUGGUUUCAGUAUGACUGCUAUCUUUGUAGCUUUUUCUAUAAACGCUUCAAGCCUUGCUGUAUAGCUCAGAUGGAAGCUAAAUAAGCAUUCAAAUGAAACAAAACUCCUCAGGAGAUCUUGCUGCCAGGACAUAAGUUGUGCAGUCAGGAAAAAAUAGCCAAAGUAUGAAGCUACGGGCCAUGCCUUCUGCUAACAGAGACACUGGUGUUUCCCUUGACUGUUUUGAAAUGAGGCCUGAGCCAAGCAUUCUCCACAUGGCUUCAAGUGGGAAUGCAUCUUAUUGCUCAAGAUGCAAAAAAAAAAUUGAGUGAUUUACUCACUUCUAAACUUACACUGCACAUCUACCAUUAAUCAUACACAAUCCACAACAGUGUCACUCUCUUUGUUCACUGCAGUGAAAGUACCAAUGUAUCAUAUAUUCAAAUUACAUUGUGUGCUUGAGGGAGCUCACAAUCCCCUGCAAACUUCUGUGGUAGCCUGGUUUGCAAGCUCCACAUGCUACCUGUGAACUAUUUAUUGUGUGUGUGACUGCAAGCCUAAAUCCCUGCCUGGGAUUAUCUGAAAACUCUGGAACUUGCCAGCAAGAAAAUUUACAGCUGAACAAUUAUAUUGUUGAAACUCUGACAAAUCCACCCCAGUUUAUGACUUUGAAAAUAGGACUAGGUGUGAGCAACUGAAUAGAUUAUAUACUGUAGCACGGCCUCCUGGGUGUUGCAAUAUAGAAUCUGUUUACUUUGACUGACAAUUUUCAUUUUCUUUUCUUCCAGACAUUAUUGCUGCAAAUGAUCUCUCUGCUCAAUACGGACUUGUUCCUCAAAAAAUGGUUUAGGUAUUUGGAUAAACAUCUUCUGAACAAGUUUUUUCUUAUUAUGAUUUUUGGGAAGUAAUCCAGCAAUAAUAAAGUUGACAGGCAACAUGAUGAGUAAAAGCAAGUAGCCGUGCAUUAUAUUAGUACAUCAGACUACAUCGACUUCCAGAACUUCUUUUCAAUAUAAAAAAACUAAAGGUUUAAAAACUCGGAGUCUGAGCACAAAGGAGAGCCUUUUCCCCUCUCACUAUGCUGUAAGCAGAAGUUUAAACCUCUCCAAAUAAACAAGUGACUUCUAGCCAAGAGUGAAAUAAAUCUCACUCAAGCACAGAACGAUGUUCUUUCUACUUAGAGCACUUAUGAAGUACAAGAUUUGUUGUUAAAACCAACAGUAAUACGUACAGACAGAACAAGCGCAAGGAUACAGACUGAUCAAAUCAUUUUCCUUAUAUAUUGGUACCAGAAACUGGAAAUUCAUUAUGGUUUUCUACUUCCUUCAGAAAUACCAGUUGUCGAAUGCAAGAACAGGUGGAAAUGACUGUUGGUUAUCAUGUGGUAAACUGAUAUGUUAGCCUAAAGAGUCAUAUUUUUUGUAGUUACAGAGGAGAAAAAGUAGAAACGUGAAGUUCCUUUCCAGAGCAUUCUCUGAAUGACAAAUAAAACAUUCUUUUUCACACUCAGGCAAAAACAAGUAGCAUGUUGUAUAUAAAGAAGACUGAGAGUUGGGAGUUUUAUUAUGUGUGCUUGAGUUGUGAAAUGCAGAAAUAUGCAACUGUUACCUUUAAUUUUGUGAACAUGAGGAGGCAGAUACAAGUUUUAUGUAUCUUAGUUCUGCCAUUUGUAUUUCUGAAUACUGGAAAUAGGUGGUCUCUCUGUUUUUCUGUAGUUUCUUUUAGCUACUGCUAAUAUUUAUUCCUGAAAGUUGCUUACAUUUUUGAUAUACCUAUUUUGUACUUUCCUGUGCUUGCCCUGCUCUUGGAGUGGGCACUGUACUUUCUGAGAAUAUUAAGAUGAAAACUCCACCUUGUUUAAGCUGAGGAGGGAUAAUUUCUCUGCAGUACUACUGAAGCGACUUCAAAGCUUAUAUUCAGAGGGCCAAUGAAGUCUCAUAAUAAACUGCAGAUUCUCUAGUGCCUUUGUGUCUACCAGUAGUGCACUUCACUGUGCAGCAGAAGGAGUGACAGGAGUCCUCAGUGCGGGGAUGGGUACUCUCUGAACACUGCAAAACCUGCUGAGAUUGUUUCUGAGGAAACUUAGAAAACAACCCAGAGAAGGCUAAGGUUCACAUCCUUGCUGUGCUUUUGCUCUGAUAAAAAAAAAAUAUGGGGGCAACGAAGACUCAUUUACUCUUCACUCCUUGUCUUCCCACUGUUGUUGCCCAUGUGCAGGCUCUCUCCUGCUAAGUGUCAGCUGUGUGCUCUGGUCUAAGAGGAUGUAGCCACUAGGCUGAAGGAAACACUCUGUGCCAGUACCUCCUACUCUAUUGCUGGUUUUCACCUCCAGGGAGGUUUCCAUUCCUGUUACAUUAUGGCUCUGUGAUCUCCCAUUAGAAAGAAAUCCCCAGAAAUUAAAUUAAGACAGAACUGGUACAAUUACAGCACUUGCAAAAGCUCACAUUUCUUUAUCUCCCUGGAUUGAUGUUUAUUUAUGUUUCAUGAUGUAAAUGGGACUAGAGAUUUAGGCAAUAGUUUACAUCUUGUAAAUAAAAAUGUAUAGGCAUGUGACGUUCACAUCAUAUUUUCACCUUUGUUAGAGACCAUAAAACACUGGAAGAAGAGAAGAAGGGAUAGGUCACUCAAUGAUCUUUUCAGGCACUGUCUUCAACAACUCACUGCCAUGUGACAAUUUUCAAGGCUGGUCAUGCUUUUAUAGUUGUCCCUGCUGGUGAACAUUUUGUGCUAAAUCUGGCAGACACUUUGCUGAGAACUGGACAGAAAAAGGCAUAAGCAGAUCAGAGGUAGCUUCUUAUUUUCAGCUUAAAGCUUGAGUAAACUGAAAAAAGUUUCCCCAGUAAGAAUCUGUUUCAUCUGAAAUUAUUCUAUUGUCUCAACAAGUACUCUGCAUUUCAAGCAACUCUGCAGGAACCACAAAUGAUUUACUUCAUAAUGGAAAGAAAGAAAACGUUAGUGGGGAAUUAAGUGAACUUGUCUCCACAAGAGAAUUAUCUUGUCCUUGACAGCCAUUUUCUUUGCAUCUUCCCUGAAAAUUUCUGGAUGGAACAAAGAGAGGGUGCUCAGGCAAAAACAGAGACUUGCGCACUCAGUUUUUCCUGACUUUUGUUCUCCCUAGAUGCCUUACCAUUCUUUCUUUUCCCAACUUCAAGCGGUAUUAGGAAGGAAGAUAUAAUUAGAGACUGUAUGUUUUAUCCUGCUUGUAUCUCCCACAAGUUGCAAAAGUUCAGGCUUCAUGAGUGAGCAGAGUCAGAGAGAGCGAGUCAUCACAGUCCAGUGGUUUUGAAUUUGGUGUAUGUAAUUUAUGGCAACAGCUAGCAACAGAUGUAGUGUAGUGAUCUGCUGAGAGGCUUUAUGAAUAGUGUCUUGUUCUGGAGCAAGAGGUUCUGGAGAAUCUACCUAAGAGCUAGACAGUAUUUAAAUCUUGCCAUUCACAUCUGAAAGUCCGUCCUCUCUUUGACAUCCCAUGUCAGCUCCUUAAAUCAAAACUCAUACACUCAGGAAUGAAGUAAAUAAAUUAUAAGCUUUAUUGAUUGUGUCUGCUGCGUGAAUGUUCUUUAGAAUUGACUAAGCCGUCCAAAGCAUUGUCCCAACAUGGAUCAGGCUCUUCAUAAAUCCCGACAUGGCUGCUCAGAGGGAACAGAAAUGUUUUCUUUGGUGGAUCCAAGGUUCUGUCAGGGAAGGUUUUGAUCUCCACAGCUUUACAACAUCCAUAUGGUGAGGAAUAAAUUAGCUGGCUCCUUCAGUGGGAUAUGGGAUCAGUUUUUUAGAUUGGACAGAAGCCCACUAUGAUAUAGUUUUUUUCUUCUUUCUAAUGAAUAUCAGUGAAUUCCACAUGAUGUUUGGAACCAGAAACCCCGUUUGUCUCUCGCUUAGUCUGUUCUCUCAUCCAUAUGACUUUGUUGACUUCAGCUAAAUUACUGGUAUAGAAGUGUCUCAGACUUCUCUGCCAGCUAAUGGAAGUAGUGAUGGUGGUCACUGAUUUGAGGUUAUUUUGCUGGGGGAGGGACUGUUCUUUGCUUUUGCUUUAGAGCAAGGAGCUGUGGUAAAUCAUAGGCAUGUUUCUUGGGAUGGAGAUAAUAAAUCACUCUUCCCAGGUGAAAUCUUUUAUUUAUGCAUUGGGAUUCCAUUUCAUCGAAGAAAGGUAUGUUCUUUUGGCUUCAGCUAGGCUGCACUUAAGCAAGUGAUUCAAAUCAAGCUGACACUUACUAGUGAGCAUGUUGAACACUUUGCUCUCAGACGGUUCACUGUGCUGCCAUGCCACCAUCCUCUCUUCUUCACAGAUGUUUGUUCUCCUCUAGUUUCAUCUGGAAGAAAAAUCACUUCCUCCUCCCCAUGUCAGUGGGAAUUCAACUGCAAAGGAUAGCUUGAUUUUAGGGACAUUGGGUCACUCUGACCUGCAAAAAAUUGAAGGAGAGAUGAAAAUAUCUUUUAUUUAUAAGUUGAUGCCUAUUUGCAAAAAAUAACCUCAAGUCUAGAACAACAACAACAAAAUAUAGGAAACUCUUUACACAUAGAAAGUUCUGAAUGCUGUUCCUAUCUCUAGGAGUACUCUAAGUCAAUCCCUAAGUCAAUACCAAUCCUUUGCACUGCAUGUCACCUGGCUAGAUUGAUGUACCCAUAUACUGCACUGAGAAAACAUGGUUCAGAAACAUGAACCUGCAAAUAAGGAAGUUUUGCUGCCAGAAAAGAAGAAAGCAGUUUUAGAAUUUCACAUGGCUUCCUGGUUAAAUUGUAUUUAUUUACAUCUAGAAUGAGGUGCACCAUCUCAAUUUACCAGAUAAGUAAGUGGAGUGUUAUAUGACAUGCCAGAGUAGAAAAAAAAGAGGCUGCAGACAUGAGGAGUCAUAGGAACUGGUAAUCUUCAGAAGAUACCUCGAGCCUCUGUUCAAACUGAGUGUUCCAGUGGUACAAAGCAUCUCAGCAUGCAGGCUACAUGUCACAGUGGAAGGCUGAUCGCUCCUAGGCAUAUCAACCUGCAUGUCUCUAGAUGACCCAUAAGACACCAGGGAUCUUUGGAUGAAUGCAGUAUUGUGCAGUCAUUCACACUUCUGUGGCAGAGACCCAUUGCACUGGCCACUUCUUACUCCUGACAACACAGCUUUCAGCUUGCUUUCUAGCUUAGAACAGUAGAAAACGGAAGCCACUGAUUACAAAGCUCUGAUUAUUUUCUUAAUUCAGCUUACUUUUUGCCUUCACGGGGUGUUUCCUAUACUAAGUAGAGGAUGAAGCUUGCUGUUUCUAAAAUGUAAACUUGGGCAUCACAGUCAAAAAUAGAAUGCCUGCAGAAAGGAAACAAACACUAUUUGUAGCAUGAAUUAGGAUGUGCUGGAGUUUGAAGGCUGAAGUAAUAUUUAUAUGCAUAGAGGGACUAUGUGAAUUCCUGACCUGGAAAGGUGAUCCUGCCAUUUAAGCAUUUAUGCAUUGCUAAUAAACAGUGGAAGAAAAAACUUAAACUAACAAAAAUAUAAUCCAGUUUCUUUUCAUUAAACAUUAUAUGAGGCUCUCUCUGAAAGUAAUGCCUCCUAUUCAUUUCCAAGGAAACUACAACGACUACAAAAGGCACAAUAACAUUAUUUGGUAGAACAAAUUCUCAGCUACAAAACACUGUUUUUCAACAUACUCACCACCAUUAGCUGAUUCAUGCAGAUGAGCUGAUAGAGACACCUUUUAUUUUGUGUUACAACACUUGUGUGUGGCAGUCUGGGACGUGUCUUGUCUUUCAUGUUGCCGUUUCUAUUGCAGAAACACACCACCCAGACCUUGCUGUGCUCAAUUCCACUGUUGGGUCUCCAUUCUCUUUCAGCAAGCGCUGAUAAAUGUCGGCGCAAUUCUUUCUGCAUGGAGAAAUUCAGUACCACACCAUUGCUUCAUAUAUACUUCCAUGUCAGACUCCAUUUUGACAGACUGCCCCUCUGCUGCCACCUGUCACAAGGCAACAACAUGGAAUGGAAUAAUGUUGGGAAAGUCCAACCUUUACUGCCAACAUCUGUUUCUGAUGUUGUGGGCCAACAUGAUGGAAUAGAAGGCAUUACUAUUGGAAUGACCCUCAAAAUAAUCAUAAAAAGAAAACAAAGGCAAGGAUAAUGUUUCUUCCUUUCCUUUCACUUUUUACUGUGCUGUAAUAUAUCCAGUGUUUGCCAAAUAUGCCAAAUAUUUUAAGACAUUAAUACAUCUACAAAAUAUGUAUAAAAAAGUAACUACCAAACCUUUCCAAACAAGCAGUCCCUUAUCCUCUACUGUGGAAGACAGCGAGGCUUUGUUGAAAGAGAGACAGAACAAGUUUCCCAGUCCAUAGUUCACGGGAGAAGGUGUCUGGCCACAAACACUUUACCCAGGAAAGUCACAGGUAAACUAGUCGACUGUGCUCACAGUGAUGUGAAACAGGGGCUUCAAUGUGGGAAUCUUAUUAAGCAAGAGGAAGCUGGGCAGUGUGGAUUACACAAUCAGCUCCAAAUUGAUCUGAAGACCUGCUAGAAAUAGAGGAAAAUCAUUUCUCAUGGACUUCGGUAAUCUAGUUCUGUAUCUAGUUUUAGGGAAAAUGGGGCAUGGAAAUAACUUUAGGAAAGGCUGACAAUGAUCAAUUCCAUGGGCUAAUAUGAGCCAGAAUAUCCUCUCAAAUGCUAAAACAGUCUGCGUCAAAAAAAAUGAAAGGAUCUUGGGGCUGCUUCAGUCUUGGUAAGAAACUGUAUUUCUACAUAAUAGAGGAUGUUUCUAUAUCAUUUACCACCACUUCCCAAAUUCUCUAACAACACAUAAGCUGAUUCACCAGUGGCUCUUUGUUCUUAUCAUCCUUGUCAUUUUCAGACAGACAACAUUCAGCUGAAAUCAGUGGAGACAGGGCAAUGGACUGGGUUGUUCCCAAAGCAGUAGAAAGUAUUGCAAAUAGGAGCACAUCAGCUAGAAUACAAAACGUGUGUUGUGUUAUGGUUACACUACUGAGGCUAAUUCCUCUAAAUCACUACAUUUGUGGUUUUGUUCAUGCUUUGCUAUUAAUAGCAAUGUCUGCCUAUAUAAUUGUAUUGAUAGCAGCAUUAUUUGAGAAGGAAUUUUUUACUACCAAAUAUAAAUAUAGCAGGUGUUCAUUUUUUAAUUACAUAUAGCAUUCAGAAAAGUGACACAUUAUUAAGAAAGGUCAUUGAUCACUCCCAGGAUAUGGCAGUAAAAUAUAUAGUAUGGACUAAAAUUAAAAUUUGUUUUAGAGCAGUGCAAUGUGAAGUAGUGCAAAACAAAACCAAAUCAAAAAUAACAAUGGUGCCUUAAUUAACAAAAUAGAUGAAUAGAUAAAGGAUGAAAAUUAUAAUCUUAUAUCUGAUGAUGGUGUGACUAGAUUCAGAAACAGAGUUGCAAACAGUCCUUAUUCUUUGUAAGAUUGGAACAUGAUUGGUAGACCAGUAGACAUUUAUAAGGUUUUCAUGACUUGAUGAAAAAAGGUAUCGCCGAGGUUAUGGGUCAACAAAAUGUUGUAGAUGCCAGCUCCAAUAAAAAAAUUUUUGGACUUAAGUUGAUUUUGUUGUUUUGGCAACACUCGAUUAACUCUGAGAUUGUGCCAAAGAAGUUAAAAUUGAUUCCCCCCAGCUUGCUGUUUUACUCAUUCAGAUCAGUAACAUACGUCUGCUUUGAGGUCCUGAUUCUGCACCCUCUGUUUCAAAAGGAGGUUUUGUCCUAUUAGCAGCAUGUGUGACCACUACCAAGAAUUUGAUGAGCUGAAGAAACUUUUCUGGUGAGAUCACAGUCAGGCAUACAUGAUCUCAAAAUGUUUCAUGUCUUCCUAAAUAGAUAUGCUGGUUCUGAAUUACUUUUAACAUUCCAAAUAUCUUCACAGCAUAUAAAGGUGGGAAAAACUUAAAAAGCCAUUUGCAAACUAACAAACAUUAAAUGAAAACAGAAAAGCAUUCCCUUGAAUUUCCUUCUCUACUUUCACUUUUAUUGUAUUCAGUACUUCCAAUGAUUUUUUUUUUUUAAUAUAUUGUAUACUACAGUUUAAAUAGUGUGUUUACUUUCCAUUCUCGAUCUGCAGCAGCUCCUUGCAGCAGCUACAGCCAUUUUUUUACGUGGGCAAUGAGUAUUCAGAAGUGUACCUUUUCUUGUUUAACACAACCAUGCAGCUGGAAGCAAGGAAUUAAAACAGUUCUGUGUGAUCAGCAUGUUGUCUGCAAAAUGUGUGGAUAACACCUGCCAGCUUGCAUAAAAAUAUCUGCUUUUUGAAGAGCAGCAGAAGGCCAAGGCAGGGUCUUAAAGUAGUCUACAGUGCAAGAACAAAAGUAAAAUCUUAAAAUUAGGAGUGGGGAAGGAAAAUUGUUAGCUUCUUCUUCUAAAGAAAAGGGAUAUUUCAGAGCAGCUGUGAAGCAAGACAGCUUAGAAAGAAAAUAUCUUUUUACUUGUUGGAAGUUUAUUAGUGCUAUAUUGACAGCCUUCUGUUUAACAAUUGCUGUUAUUUGUUCAGGUUGGUUUUCUUUCCUCUUCCUGGGUAGGAAUUUUGAAAAGAUUCUCCUCGUCCCCCCAGAUCAUGCUGGGUAUUUGGGCAUCACAGAGAGACCUUCUGGCUGGGGAGCCAGCCACGGCCCUCGGACCAAGAAAGCACACAGGCUGAUUGGGGUGCCAGGGUCUGACACAGAUUGACUCCAUGACUCCGUGACACAGAUUGAUGCAUGACUCCAUGUCCACAUGGAAGAUGGGGGAGCCCGUGGGGCCUGGCAAGCAGCAGCACUGAGGGAUGUAUUCAAGACCUGCUGGAAAAAAAACGGCAGUUUGUAUUGUUAGUAUAACCUUUAGAGGGGUUGUGUGGGGUGGCAGAAUUCUUAUUUCCACUCUGUAAAACACAAGAUUAAGAGCAUAAUGAGCUCUAUUAAAGCAUCAGACAGCACAUGGAUAAUUAGAAGAUCCAUCUUUAUUAGGCAAGCAAAAACAAAUGCAUGUUAUAAACCCUAAUGCUCUAGAGCAAAAAAUCACUUGCUAAUUAAGGAGGUGGGAUGGAGGGCAGGAGCAAGCAUCACUGGAGGUCAGGUUACCCUGGGUUAGCCUGCUAAACGGCUGUUGCACCUUCCUCUUAAGCAGAAGCACUCCAUGAGGUUUGUAUAGGACAGCGGAUUUUUCACCACUGUGAUCAACAUUUACACCUUAAGUACCGGCACUGAAACAAUCUAAGGGCUACUGCAGUUGAUUUACUGAAUCCUGGUCUUACAUGUCAAGAAAACCCUCUCCUCUCUUUAACGUGGGUUCUUUCACCGUUCCCUCCUCUCUCACAUUCUUCAUCAGAGAUGACUUAUUCCUGGAAAUCACUGAAGUAUUCCUGUGAAGAAUCGUUGAUUAGGUGAAGUAAUCAUUGUUUUUUGACGCAUUCAUGGAAGGACAGUAUUUCUGCAUUUUCCUCAAAGCCUACUGUGCUGUGCACUCAUAAAAGUGUUUCUUUGAGAAUGUUUACAUGAAAAUCUAUUUCCAUAUAUGAAAAAAAACGAACAGUAAAUAGAGUCUGUGGAUUUAUCAGCUGUUCUAAUUUUCCUCACACUUGACUUGAAGGUGUUUGUUAUAAUUUAGAAUUGAACACAAGAAGAAGUCAAUGAAUAUUCAGGUGUGAUGGAGGAAUUUCUUAAAAAAUACCAGCACACACCUGACUUGGUCUUGCAGUUCAGCCUUCCUGACAUCUUAGGAAAGCUAGCAGAGGAGGUCAAUAGCUGUACAUUGGCUUUGAAGAAUUUCCUGCUAGUUUUAGAUCAGUAAUUUAUAGAAGAGUACAAGAGGCUGCAGGAGCUGGAUGUCUGACUUUUCUUUCAUAUGAGCUUUUGCUGUAUCAGCUCAUCCAAAAAAACAAAGAUUAGUGAGUUGAGGAAGAAGUGAUAGAAGAAGAGAUCCCAUACAAGGAGGGAGGUGAACUUUGCCCAAGGUGAAGUGUUGCAUCCUGUUGGUCUUGGACCCAGAAAUGGAGACCCUCAAGUGUGGCGGGCCUACUUGGGGUGCUAUCAUGACAUGCUGGUAAGCAAUCAGCAUAGUCAUUUUGUUCCAGAUGUCCAGAUGUCUUCACUGCUGACUUUCCUGUCCCUCUCCACCUUGAUGGCACCAUUCACAGAGCCUUUGUUUCAUCAGUAGAGAGGGGAUUAGUAGCCUGCAGAACUGACUGCUAUCUUCUCAUCUUUUUGUCAGCAGCUGACGUCAGACUUAGAAAAGAUCUUCUGUCCAGUUUUGAAGAGGUCAUCCUCUCCUUUCAGAAGGUCUUGACAAGCAGAAGUGUUCAUUGCCUUUCUUAAGUCAAGGCUACACCUGUCUUCCACAGAUGAAAAUCCUUCCUAGGGCCAUUUUGAAAGCUGCAACCCAUUCAUUUCAUAAACGCACACCUUAUUCUGACCCAAUAAAACAUCACAUCAUUUCUAUCCCCCUGGAAGAGUCUUUAGAAAAUAAAGUAACAGCAAUCCAAGGCAAGAGAGAACUUGUACCUACAUGCUAGCUCUCUUUAAUGGGAUCAGAUAUAAUUAGGUGCAAUUUUUUCAAAAGUUACAAAGGGAUUUCUCAUAUUUGAAGGAUCCCACUGGGAUGCCUCAGAGGCCAUUCACAUUGUCAGUUAGCUGCAACUUGGAGCAGGCUACUCACUGAGAUAUAGGAACUACAUAGUUAUAUGUAGUUAUAGCGUAUGUUCCUAUAUAGGAACUAUAAAGUUAUGCAAAGACUUAAACCUUAAUGGCAUCUGAGAAAUCAACUAUAAUCUUUUUGUACCAAACUGUGUUGCAGAAACAAGUAAACAAAGAGAAGGGGCAAUUUCAGGCGACAAAUCUGGGCUCUGGUCUGUCCUUUCAUAAUUUUAAAAAUACAUAUAUUUUUAAAGAAAGCCUGUUGUGUCCACCUCUGUGUUCCUCUUGUAGUAGGGAAAAUAACUUUUUACACAGGUAGGUAGUGAUGGGACAAAGGGGAAUGUUUUCAAACUAAAGGAGGGGAGAUUUAGAUGAGAUAUCAGGAGAAAAUUUUUCACUUAGAGUGUGGUUAGGCACUAAUGUUGCCCAGAGAAUCUGUGGAUGCCCCAUCCCUGGAGGUGCUCAAGUCCAGAUUGGAUGGGGCCCUGGGCACCCUAAUCUAGUGCCUGAUUUAGUGGCUGGCAACCCUGCCUGCAUCAGUCUGAUUGGAAUUAGAUGAUCUUUGAGGUCCCUUUCAACCCAAGCCAUUCUAUGAUUCUAUGACAUGAACCAAGCACUUACCGUGCAAGUGGCAAGGUAAUUUUUUUUUUUAUUAUUAUUUGCAAACUUUUUGCCACUUUCUACAUGGAAAAGAGUGUCCAGAAAUUUUCCUUGACCUUGUUGUACCACAGCCCACUAAUAUCCUUCAGACAAUAGCUGAUCUGAGUACAUCAUGGAGAUAACAUGGUUCCAGCCAAAGAGUUGCUUCCAAAGUUAGAUGCUAUGGGUAUUAAGGAAAUUUAUUUCUAUUUGUUUCUAUAGCCAGUUUUACAUGCAAAAAAAAAGAUAUGCUGUGAAAUUAAAGUUGAGGGAGAAUGAAAAUUCACAAACUAUUCCCUUGCAGGAAUUGUAAACUCUACAGAAAGCUAGAUAAAAGGAAGCAAGACUGAUGCUUAACUCAUGACGGACAGAAGACUUGGCUUUCAUCAGCAGCUUUGACUUGCAGCCAUCACAGACAUUUCUGAAGAGAUCAUGUCGUGGUGUUGGAACGGGCAAGGCACACUGCAAAUCUGUAGGGUUAGAUACUAGCCCAGUAUUUCUAUUCAGCAAGAUAAUGGAGAUAACAGAAUUUUAAGUAAAGCUCUUUCCUCAUAAUUUAUGUGGUUUUGUAGGAAAAAAGCCCUAUCCUCCUCAAUUUUUGCAGGCAGGACCAUAGGAUAUUGCAACGCUACAUAUAUUUCUAAUGUUUACAUAUAAUGUGAGCUGAGAACAGGCUCCAGUUCUCCAGAGGAUUUUACAGCUUGAUGACAUCUUCAUUGUUGUUAUUACUCAUUACAAACAGAUUUCUGGGAGUGAGGUCACUCAAUGGCAAACCCAUGACAAAUGCUUCCCAAAACGCAUGUCUGGAGAAACCCCAUGGAUGCAACAAGUUUCUGUAAACAAGAAAGAAACAGAAGAAACUGGCGUCGUUGGGGAUUGCAAAACCUGGAACUUUUUCCUUCCCCUGUUUUCUGCUGCAUGUCUCACAUCUAAAAUUAUCAAACAUCUUUUAAAAACAGCAAAUUAUUUAUCCAGAAUUUGACCUCAUGUUAAAAACAAUCAAACAAACAAAAGAAAACAUGAUCACAUGCAAUUAUUCCAGUUUUUCCUUUCUUUAGAACUUGAAAAAGAAAAUAAAAAUUAAUGGGUGCACCAACCUGAAAAGAACCCAUGAGUACUGACUGUGGACAGCAGCACUUGUACCUCUGUUCUGUAUUUAGAAGCAGUGGUUUCCAGACAAGCCUUCAGCUCACACAGGUAAAGCACCUUGGUAGACACAGCUUUGUGCUGGUGUGCCCCCUAUUGACAUCAAGUUGUUUCCUCGAGUUAUACUGCCUAAAGGUGUUUCCAAUUGGAGUUUCCUUGUGGUAUUUGCAGUCUAUAUUUCUAAAAGCUGAAAGGUCUGACCCAGACCUCCCCAGACAUUAAGAAUAUUUAAUUGUUCAUUUCUGCUAAUGAGGUGCAGAGUUGACAUGGUUUUGAAUUUUUGUUCUGUUUUCAGGAAAA